UACAGAGACUGCAAGCGUUAUUCGGAUUCACUGGGCGUAAAGGGUGCGCAGGCGGCUAUGUGUGUGAGGCGUGAAAGCCCGGGGCUUAACCCCGGAAUUGCACCUCAAACUACAUGGCUAGAGCAUUGGGGAGGGUAGCGGAAUUCACGGUGUAGCAGUGAAAUGCGUAGAUAUCGUGAGGAACACCAGAGGCGAAGGCGGCUACCUGGACAAUUGCUGACGCUCAGGCACGAAAGCGUGGGGAGCAAAAGGG
rnacentral:rRNA from 1 species